rnacentral:rRNA from 1 species
AGUGAACGCUGGCGGUAGGCCUAACACAUGCAAGUCGAACGGCAGCACAGUAAGAGCUUGCUCUUACGGGUGGCGAGUGGCGGACGGGUGAGGAAUACAUCGGAAUCUACUUUUUCGUGGGGGAUAACGUAGGGAAACUUACGCUAAUACCGCAUACGACCUACGGGUGAAAGCAGGGGAUCUUCGGACCUUGCGCGAUUGAAUGAGCCGAUGUCGGAUUAGCUAGUUGGCGGGGUAAAGGCCCACCAAGGCGACGAUCCGUAGCUGGUCUGAGAGGAUGAUCAGCCACACUGGAACUGAGACACGGUCCAGACUCCUACGGGAGGCAGCAGUGGGGAAUAUUGGACAAAGGGCGCAAGCCUGAUCCAGCCAUACCGCGUGGGUGAAGAAGGCCUACGGGUUGUAAAGCCCUUUUGUUGGGAAAGAAAAGCAGCAGGUUAAUACCCCGCUGUUCUGACGGUACCCAAAGAAUAAGCACCGGCUAACUUCGUG